AGCAGCAGCCGCGGGAAUACGUAGGUGGCAAGCGUUGUCCGGAAUUAUUGGGCGUAAAGGGCUCGCAGGCGGUUUCUUAAGUCUGAUGUGAAAGCCCCCGGCUCAACCGGGGAGGGUCAUUGGAAACUGGGAAACUUGAGUGCAGAAGAGGAGAGUGGAAUUCCACGUGUAGCGGUGAAAUGCGUAGAGAUGUAGAGGAACACCAGUGGCGAAGGCGACUCUCUGGUCUGUAACUGACGCUGAGGAGCGAAAGCGUGGGGAGCGAACAGGAUUAGAUACCCGGGUAGUCCCUGUCUCUUAUAC
rnacentral:rRNA from 1 species